AUUGAACGCUGGCGGCAUGCCUUACACAUGCAAGUCGAACGGUAACAGGCCGCAAGGUGCUGACGAGUGGCGAACGGGUGAGUAAUGCAUCGGAACGUGCCCAGUCGUGGGGGAUAACUGCUCGAAAGAGCAGCUAAUACCGCAUACGACCUGAGGGUGAAAGCGGGGGACCGUAAGGCCUCGCGCGAUUGGAGCGGCCGAUGUCAGAUUAGCUAGUUGGUGGGGUAAAGGCCUACCAAGGCAACGAUCUGUAGUUGGUCUGAGAGGACGACCAGCGACACUGGGACUGAGACACGGCCCAGACUCCUACGGGAGGCAGCAGUGGGGAAUUUUGGACAAUGGGCGCAAGCCUGAUCCAGCAAUGCCGCGUGCAGGAAGAAGGCCUUCGGGUUGUAAACUGCUUUUGUCAGGCAAGAAAUCUUCUGGGCUAAUACCCCGGGAGGAUGACGGUACCUGAAGAAUAAGCACCGGCUAACUACGUGCCAGCAGCCGCGGUAAGAC
rnacentral:rRNA from 1 species